AGCUUAAUGGCGAUCCGUUACGGUGGAUGCCAUGUGCUGGUUACCAUUGACAAAAACACUUCCAUGACGCGCCAUUUAUCGUCAUGGAAGUGGACACACAUGAGAUUCAUGGACCCUCGUGGGUGUGAGCCCUUCUAAGACUUGAUUCCUCCAUGGAUCUCGCAACCGAGAUCUUCGUAAUAUUAGAUCAUUUGUGGAUCUAAGCCUCCAUCAACGUGGACGCACGAUAGCAUCACCUAUCAGAACAACUCGUCAAAAUCUUCAUCGUGUCAACUUGUGUUUGCGAUUCUCUCAAACAUUACUUUCUACUUUACUUGCACUUGCAUGUCCUUACUUUCCGCUGCCUAUACUCUAGACUUGCAUCUGUACGGUGCUCUUGUAUUGCUUAGCUAAGUCCAAAUCUGCUAAGAACUAAAAUUGGGAAAAUAGUCCUUUAUUUUUUGCCAGUAGUCUAUUCAUCCCCCUCAAGACAUACUUUCGAUCCUACAUCGUGUCUGUUGUGGCCAUGACUAGGAGAGUGCCCGCUACGUGUGUUUUUUAGUAGGAUCGCUCGUGCCACUACAUGUGAGUUUGGUGCCCCGCAGAGGGCAUUCUUGGGAUUUUGCAUAUCCUCACGCCACGUGGCUUCUACCAAUUUGUUGCUUCGUCCCCAACCAGUGAGACAACUAGGGUUUCUCUCCCGUCUCACUUCUCUGUCUCUCUCACUCGUGUCUUUCUUUCAAUCUGCUCUCCACUGCUUGUUCUCUCCACCGACCCCGGCCAGCUCCGACUACCUGCGCCGCCGCCCUCUACUGGUACAAGGACACAUCUGCCCCCUUCGCCGAUACAUCGUGCCCUUUAGCCGUUAGGGUCUCACGCAAUCAGCCAGCCACCUACCUUAAGGAGGAGGUGGAGGACGAUCAACGACUCAUUAUGCCGCCAUCCCGUGUCCUCGCCGGCAAAUCAGGAGACGUGGUCUUGAAGAGGCGCUCCUGGAGCGAGGUAAUAUCCUUUCUUAUCCCCUCCCCAACUCAGGCCCCAACCUGCUACCCCUCACCUCUCUACUUCGAAGUGAUGGCGUUGCUCCAGUCGGGACAUGAGGACAUGUACACCGUUAUUGAGAGGCCACUCCAGCUCGCAUAGACCGCCACCGUCCUGGAGAUCCUCUACUGUCUUGUCGGGAUGGUGAGGUCGCCAAUGUCGGCCACGCUGCCACAGCUCAGGUCGCGGCUCUUCGUUACCCGGGGUAUCCCCUCGAACUUUCCCGAGACCAGGACACACAUUCUAGAGAGCUCCUUGGUCAUCGGCUGGUCCAUCACGAGGUAUGUAACUUCACUAAGAUCAUGCAUGCUCCUUGUAAGCUAGGGAUUACAGUUCUUCAAAUUAACUGUAUUCAAGCCGCCAGACAUCACUUUUGCUGUUAGGGUAUUGCAAUGCAAGGAUGAUUAUAACAUAUGGAUGUUGUUGUCCCAAAGUUGAAUUUCAAGAUACCCAUGGCAGGAAUUUCCCACAAGUGUUGUGGUUUAAUUCACUAUACUGCUAGUAUUACGCGAGGAAGCCGUGUAUCAUCGGGGUGGUCCUGAGUGAACUACAAGUCAAAGGCUCUAUUAUGUGUGCAUUAUCUACUAUUGUAUAUUUUUCAAUCAUGCACUCUGUUCUCUUAAUGAUUAACUGCAAACUAGAUGAAUUAGGGCAAUAAUGCUCAUGUACUUGAACAGAACACUAGAAACUUGAAUGUAAAGAACCUUUAAAGCAGGGAGAUUACCUAGACAUUAUGCUGCACAUUGUUGUUAUAACUCUUAUAGGUUGCCAAAGUGAUGGCAUAUGGUCCACGGUCUCUUAAUGCACUGAUUCUAAUUAUCUCAUCACUUGAUUGAUAUGAACAAAUGGUAAAUUCUGUAGCUUUUUAUAGUUGUGGUGCAAGGCUGCAGGCUACAUUUGUGACAGAGAGGGCAAGACUGGGGAGGCCGAGGAGGAGGAGACCAGAGAGCCAUGACGUCGAGGUGGAAGGAGCCAUGAUCGCUGCUAUCGACAACAUGGUCACUUUGUCUGAUUGGUUAGCCUGUCACUCUCGCUUCUCUUGCAGUCGUGCAUCCCCAGGGCAUGGGCGCCGAUAUGAAUGACAAGGUUUCAUAUGGACGAGGGCGGUGAUUUCGAACUGUCAUAGUCGGUGUUGGAGGUGCUAGGGUUCGGCGUUGCUUGCAGUUAGAAUUCUUUUUCAUACAUUGGACUAAGAUCAAAUGCCAAACAUACAUGACCAUAGUUGGGUAGUUUCGACGUCUUCAGACAUGAUGUGUCUAUACAAGCGAAUUGGACAUUUCCUCGUGUGAAAUCAAGCAACUUUAUCUUUUCGUUCAUUCAACGAACCCUGCCAUCAAUUAUUAUAUGUUUGUGAGAUGAAAA